CUCAGAAGGUUGGCGUCCUGUUUUUUCUUUCAACCUUACUCCUCGUGACUUGAGUUUUUUCAAGCGCUCCAUGAAACCAAUAUAUGUUGAUAAGGAGACAUCUCCAUAUUUCGGCGAAUUACAUGCCAUUUGCUACACCAAUAGUCAUGAGAUGAUAGCCAUUAAAAAUGAAGAACUGAUACAGAGCAAAGCAGUAGAAGGAAGUCCAGAGAACUCUUUUUGCAACUUGAGAAAAGUAAAAUCUCGAGUAAAGCUAAGACAAGAUGAAUUGUUUGAAAUACUGUAUGAAAACUUUUCUAUGAUCCCAAAGACAGAGGUUGAUAUUGCACUUCAGAGGUUUUUCAAUAUAAAGUGAGAGUUCUACCCAGUGGGAGAGAGUGUUCAACGUCUCCCUCAAAAAGACCUUGUUCUCAGUGGCUUCCAUGUACCAGCUGGUACAUACCUUGAUCUAAAUCCAUACCUGUGGUUGCUGAGUGACAUGUACUUCAGUGAUCCUCUGGUUUUGCGUCCUGAGAGAUGGCUUAGGGAUUCUGCAGGAACCCUGGCAGUUGAUCCCUACAUUCUAAACCCAUUUAGCAUUGGAACUCGAAUGUGCGCUGGGCGGAGAUUUGCAGAACAGGACCUGUUUGUGGGGCUGUGCAGGCUGCUCCUCAAAUACCAACUAGAAGCUACAGACAACUCCCCUCCAAGGCAAGAAUGGAGUGUCUUGCUGAAGCCAAAAAUUCCACUCCCAAUACGAUUUAUUGCUCGGGAGUGACUCCAAUUUUUCUAGAUAUUUUGUUCUAAAUUUUUAUAUUCAUGUUAUUUUUUUAAAAUAGAUUUUGGAGGUAGAAAUAUAAAAUUGUAUAGGAAAAUUGCAGUUUGAGGUUGUGAUCAUCCAACUUUCCAAAAUGUUCUAAAUUGAACAACAGAUCUGCAAUUUGAGUAUUUAAAUCAUGCUAUUUUUGCAAAGUAGUUCAAAUUUAAUGUUCAGCAAAAGUGCCUUCCAAUUUUACAAACACCAGCUUAAGCAAAAGGCAGCUUUCUGUGGACAACAUACAUAUCAAUAGUGGCAGCCAAAUACAAAUGUUCACAAAUGUUAUUAAUGGAGAGACUGCAGUUAAACCACAGAUAUAUUUUGACAAGUGAAUUCCUUGUUAAGCUGAGACUGAAGGAAAUGGAAUAUUUAAUUUUAGAUGAUGGAGAGCUAUUACUUAUAGGCUUUUGCUAUAAAACUUACAGGUGUGCUUUAAUACAUUACUGAUUUAACUUUGUCUCCUUCCCAAGAUCUUGUCAGGGAUGAGGAGUUAUUUUGAAUCUUUGCAGGAAAGAUACUUUAGUUUUUAAAUUUCAGGACGGCUCAAAUGUUGGUAAUAUAUAAUGUAUCUGUGUUUAAGUGCAAUAAGAUGUACAGGUGUAUUAAGAUGUACAGGUGUAUUAAGAUUUAAUUAAACUAAAUAUUUCAUGUGAUAUGA